ensembl:lncRNA
CCCCCCGCUGUCUUUCUUUUCACAGGUGAAUUACGGAGGAGGAAUUUGCUGCUGGCACUUUGGUCUUCUUCUUCUAUGAUUCUGAGGCAGCUGCGGAGCAAAUGGAUGGGUGGUGGCCCGCGCUGUCACUCAAACGAGACCGACCGCUUUCACCGGGGCUCGAAACCUGCAACAGAACCCCCUGAUUGGAGCACCAGCUUUUAAAAACAAAAAUGACAAUGUGCACUAAUCAUUUUCACCAGCUCAGGUCGGUGGAGCGUUGCACGGCUGACAUGUUUGUUAAUGUGGGUUCCCUGAAGGAAACAAGGUAGCCAUCAAGGCAACUAAAUGAGCCAGAAACAGAGGAGUUUAAUGUGCGCCGUAAUGAGCGCCUAAGUUUGAUGUGAAAACAAAGCCAUGAUUAAAGUGAAGCCCCGGCCAACAGCUGGCCGUCGUAUGGGGACUGAACCCCGGUCAGGGAGUUGGGAUUGGCUUUGUGUAAAUCCUUGAUUAUUUAAAUACAGUGUGCAGAAAACCAUCCCACCUCCGUGGACAGGGCGGCGCGUGGCUCCUUCGUCCCUCUUUAUCUUUCGAUUUCUUUAAUUACAGACUUUUACCGUCAGCUUCCCAGAAAAAACAAACUCCUACGGCACAUGAAAAGAAGUCACACACACACCACGCACACCACGCACACCACGCACACCUACCCCAGCUCCACUCAGUCAGUAUGGCGCUUUGAUUCUGUGCCUGCCGGUGAUCUGUCUCUUAUCGCCCCCCCCCUCCUCCCUCCCUCUGAUCCCUUGUUCCCCUCUUCAGCUGCGCCGGGGCAGAACAUCUCCCUGUCUCUGUUUAUUCUGCAGUGGUUGUAGGUGGGAAGCCUGAUCUGCAACCAUGAAUCCGUCUGUAUGUCUUACUGCUGCUGUCAGAACAAGUGAAAUCAUAAGAUCAAUCGGAUCGUUCGCUUAGUCCGAGCAGCUCGUCAUGACGAAUGAAGGGAUCUUCGAGGCACAAAGCCUCAUCAGCCCAUUGAAAAAGUAAAGACUCGAGUUAAUCACUUACUUAGAGGCUUGAGAGUUGCAAACCGACCGAAGCAUCAAUGCCUACUUCUGGUAAUGUGCACUUUUAACCUGCCACCAGCAACAGGGCGGAUCCCACACCAGGUCCUGCAACCAAUCCGCACAGGUGCCUCCGCCGACAACACAACGCCCCACCAGCCAUUACUCCACCAGAAGACACCACAAUUUGGUUUUCAGCACACAACAAUUUACAUUGCUUUCGUCUUGCAGAAACUCUUAUAUAUGAAUCAUGAAUUCCAAUUUUUCAGGAUCUCCCCGACUACUUCUGCUUUUGCACAAUGUAAGGCACGGAGUGCCGGAUCUUCCACCGCAGUCUCUGCAGAGAAUAAAAAGACGAGUAACUGAAGGAGGGUGCAGAGGAUUCUUUAGCAAGUGAGGCGACAAUUUGAUUGAACUGGUUCCCUGAGGCCUGCAUGCAUUUCUACAGUGGAUUUAGUGGUGGUUUGCCUGCCUGCAUGGGUAUAUGACAAUGGUGAGAGUGAAAGCCAUGAUUAGAAACGGCUUACUCUUCUGGCACUAUAUGAACACUUGAACGUAAUGAGAUGCAGCUAUCUCCUCCUUUUUAUGGGGACGUUCUGUGAGUCCUGGUGCUUGUGUUAUGUAGCAGUAUUUGUGUUGUCAGAUGCCUUUUGUUUGCUCUUUUCGAGAACACCUUGCAUCAACCUGGGCCCUACAGACUAUCAGCGUCAAAUACGGAACCUCGGGAUACGGAUUUAGAAUAUACUGCUAAUCAUAGAUCAAACUUUAGCCUGGACUUUAUCAGGGAAUUAUAUCUUUGUUCAUCUAUAGCGAGCAUGGUAAGAUCCCACUGAAACGUAAAACAUGUUAAUCUCAUUUAUCAAAUUGUCACAUUUGAUGUUUUUCUAUAAAAGAAAAGAAUAAUGCACAUCAUAGGAACUACUCCUUUCUUUAACUAGUAGACCUUAAAUGAGUAUUUAUGUGAAGUCUCUGUGCCAAAAAAAGUAAAUGUGAGAGCCCCUGUAGGGAUGAAAUUGACACUGACAUUUUGGAUCAUGACAAUGAAUCAUUUGCUCAGAUGAUUAUUACAGUUGACUUAAAAUGUAAACGAUUCUUGCAC